rnacentral:rRNA from 1 species
UACAGAGGUCCCAAGCGGUGUUCGGAUUCACUGGGCGUAAAGGGUGCGUAGGUGGUCGGGUAAGUUGGGUGUGAAAGCUCGGAGCUUAACUCCGAAACGGCAUUCAAAACUACCUGGCUAGAGGGUCGGAAGGGAGACUGGAAUUCUCGGUGUAGCGGUGAAAUGCGUAGAUAUCGAGAGGAACACCAGUGGCGAAAGCGAGUCUCUGGACGACACCUGACACUGAGGCACGAAAGCUAGGGGAGCAAACAGG